GCGGAUAUGGAGGAAUUGGCAUACUCGUAAGAUUCAGGUUCUUAUUGUCGAAAGGCUUUUCAGGUUCAAGUCCUGUUAUCCUC
rnacentral:tRNA from 1 species